rnacentral:rRNA from 1 species
CAGCCGCCGCGGUAAUACGAAGGGUGCAAGCGUUACUCGGAAUUACUGGGCGUAAAGCGUGCGUAGGUGGUGGUUUAAGUCCGUUGUGAAAGCCCUGGGCUCAACCUGGGAAUUGCAGUGGAUACUGGAUCACUAGAGUGUGGUAGAGGAUAGUGGAAUUUCCGGUGUAGCAGUGAAAUGCGUAGGGAUCGGAAGGAACAUCUGUGGCGAAGGCGACUAUCUGGGCCAACACUGACACUGAGGCACGAAAGCGUGGGGAGCAAACAGGAUUAGAGACCCCCGUAGUCCCUGUCUCUUAUAC